rnacentral:rRNA from 1 species
GAUGAACGCUGGCGGCGUGCUUAACACAUGCAAGUCGAACGGAAAGGCCCAAGCUUGCUUGGGUACUCGAGUGGCGAACGGGUGAGUAACACGUGGGUGAUCUGCCCUGCACUUCGGGAUAAGCCUGGGAAACUGGGUCUAAUACCGGAUAGGACCACUUCUUGGAUGUUGUGGUGGAAAGUUUUUUCGGUGUGGGAUGAGCUCGCGGCCUAUCAGCUUGUUGGUGGGGUAAUGGCCUACCAAGGCGUCGACGGGUAGCCGGCCUGAGAGGGUGUACGGCCACAUUGGGACUGGGAUCGGGCCCAAACUCCUAGGGGGGGGAGCAGUGGGGAAUAUUGCAAAAUGGGCGGAACCCUGAUGCAGCGACGCCGGGUGGGGGAUGACGGCCUUCGGGUUGUAAACCCCUUUCGCUAGGGACGAAGCGUUUUGUGACGGUACCGGGAGAAGAAGCACCGGCUAACUACGU